AUUUAUUUUAGCGUAAUCGGGAAAAAACAAAACAAAAAUAUAUGUGCUUCAUUGAGCAUAAAUUGAAAGUAACGUGUAUACGUUGGAACAUAAUCACUAUGUUGGCAUGUGUAAAUAUAACGAACGUUUGAAAUCUCUGUUCACAAUACUGUGACUUUUAAAUUGUCUAGGUGUCUUCUGACCAAUAUCUAUGCCAGGUGUCCGCGGUGUAAGGUACUCUUGAAUUCUCGAGUGUUUUGGGAGAUUUUAUUUUCUACGAAGAAUGACACUGACUUAUUACUCAAGUGACCUACCUGGAUGAAAUAUCUAUAUACCUUUGUUUUACCUCUUUUUCUGGACUAAUGUCAGUUAUCACAAAUUGAAAGCCGUAUAGAGCCGAUGGAGUCUUAGAGGAAGAAAGAACAACAUGCCAAAUAGUGGAAGACGGGAGACUACACUUAUUAUUUCUAGAUAACGGUGUAAACUCGUGACUCUUUGUAUGUAUUUUUUAUUUAUUAAUAAUCGGGCUAAGAAUGAAUGGAUUCUUUAAGACCUCGUCCAUUAGAGAGAGUGUGAUAUUUAUGUGUUGGUUUCUGAUUCUGUGCGCUUGUAUAUCCGUAUCCGGCAAAAAACAGAAAAAUCAGAAAACGGUUUCACCAUCGUCAAAUCAAACGGAGGUCAUCCAGAGGCUGUCCAACUUUUUUGGAAUAGACAGAAUUCCGGGCCGGAUUUUCAGGAAACCCCCUCCGGAUUACAUGAUAGAUUUGUACAACAGUAUAACGGACAGCGGGGGAUUGAUGAAGCGGGAAAGUCCCUAUAAGGCGGACGUUAUCCGAAGUUUUCCUGAUAGACAGUGGAACCAGUCAAUGCAUUUCCAUUAUAACAUAUCAUAUCUUUCGGAAAGGGAGAAAAUUCUAGCUGCAGAAUUCCAUGUUUUUAAAAUGCGUCCAGCUCCUCCAAAAUUUAAGGAGUCUAAACCUCCUUACGUCAUUGAGAUAAAGAUUUAUCAAGUUCUUGAUCCCUCAAAUAUAUAUUCAAUAAAUGGAUUAAAACUUUUGGAUGCGAGGAGAAUAAGUGCUCUGGGGCAUGGGUGGUAUGUGUUCAGCGUAAAAAAAGCAGUGGAAGCCUGGGUGAAUGGCACCGCAGAGAAUCAUGGUUUCCUUGUUUCUACGACUUCUGUGAUUGGCCAUGAAGUAAACGGAAGUUACGUAAGAUUUGCCCAACGUCAUCAACACCACGAUAGUAAACAACCAAUAUUGGUUGUGUACACAGAUGAUGGAAUGUCGAGACAUCCCAACUACAUUUCACCAAAUGACGAAGAUUAUUUACAAAUAAAAGAAGAUAUUGCGAAGAAAGAAAGAGCAAGGUUAAGGAAUUUCAAACAAGUUGUUAGACUCUUAAACGAGAAAGAUAGAGACGAAUAUUACAAUGAACAUCUUCAGAAACUUUUGGGAAACACCACGUUAGCGAGAAAAAGAAGAAGUGCAGAGGAAGGAAACAGUAAAAAUUCUAGUAAAAUUAACACUGUGCAAAAGACUCGCAAAAAGCGAAGGCGUCUCUCCAAAGAAGAGCGCAAGAAACGCAGGGAGGAAAGAAAAAAGACGGAAGAAUAAGAAAAAGGGUAAAAAGGGGAAAGGAAAGCGAGCUUUGGAUUUCCGGUAUAAUCGCAAAAGACGAAGUUGUGCAAAACAUGAAAUGUACGUUGAUUUCGACGAAAUAGGAUGGUCAGGGUGGAUUAUAUCCCCAAAAGGUUACAACGCUUAUCACUGUAAAGGAGCCUGCCCUUUUCCUUUGGGACAGAGUCAAAAACCUACAAAUCAUGCAACAGUUCAAAGCAUUGUCCACGCUCUUAAAGUGGGCAACGAUGUUUCCACGCCGUGUUGUGUACCCAACAAACUAUACUCGAUCAGUCUUCUUUACUUUGAUGACGAUGAAAAUGUCAUCCUCAAACAGUACGACGACAUGGUCGCAGCAAGUUGUGGAUGUCACUGAAACAAGCGCGGGAAACCGGACUAGUGCAUAUCACUUGGAAAGCUGUACUGGCCAAACUAUCCGUCAGGUGUCGCUCCAGAUGACGUACUUACAAUGUUUCAGCGUGCGAAUGCGAGGGAAAAAAGCCGACACAGAAUUCAAAUAAACUUAAAAAAUGAUGACGAGAUUAGACAUUUGUGAUAGCGAUUUAUUGGUUCCCCAUAAAAAAGAUAUGUGCGAAUAUUUUCAUAAUUGAUUUCAUGGUGAAACAAUUUUCAAAGAUUUUUAAGAGAAAACAGGUCGACGACUGCUCGUAGAAUAUAAAAUCAAUGGUGUGUCAAAUUUAUAAGGACUAAAGUAACAAGGUGUAAAAAAGGGCAUCCCAGGCGAUAAAAAAAACUUUUGAAAAAAGCAGUCUGAACCAAACUGAAAAAACCAGGGAACACUGUGAAAAACGGUCAUAAACGAAACUUUAUGAGAUUAAAUUGCGAAAGCUCGUUUGAAUGUAUUUAAGAUAUUGUAGGAGAGAGAGAGAGAGAGAGAGAGAGAGAGAGAGAGAGAGAGAGAGAGAGAGAGAGAGAGCGAGAUUGUGUUAGUUGCUGUAUUAAUGUUUGUUUGCAAUGUUAAAAUGACUUGUAUUAAAAUCAUAAGAUUCAUAUAAUUGCCAUUGCCCCGUAUGUUAGUACAAACUAGUAUAUGUAGGAUGAAAAGAUUAGAAAAAUGAAUGAAAUACUGAAGUCAUUCGUAUACAAAGACAAAAUGCGUGCUAAUGGCUUCUUUAUACAUGAACAUUCCUUUUAGUAAGCUACAUUUCAGAUCAUUAACAAUUUUAUCGGAGUAGAAACAAAAAUAUCUAAACGUAAGAAAAAUAUUUACAUUCGUAGAUUUUGAGAGACUUCAACAAUGUUUUCUUGUUGCUUGAUGUUAUUUUAUUAUUCUUGUUUAUUGCUAUAUUAUAAACAAGUAUUUUUGUAGCUGAAUAUAUGUGUGUGAGACGUUAAGGCGGUUGUCUGUGUUAUAAAAAUUCAAAGAUGUGUUUUUCGUCGUUAAAAAAUGUUCAAAGCCGUACUUUGCAUUUCUCUGUUUGAACCUAUGUAAAAAAUAUGUUGUUACUAUUGUACAUAAAUAAAAAAAGAAAGCUGCU
rnacentral:misc_RNA from 1 species